GCCAGUUUAGCUCAGCCGGUAGAGCAGCUCACUUGUAAUGAGCAGGUCCUCGGUUCAAAUCCGAGAACUGGCUCCA
rnacentral:tRNA from 1 species